rnacentral:snRNA from 1 species
AUUGCUUCUUGGCCUUUUGGCUAAGAUCAAGUGUAGCAUCUGAAUUUGACUAUUGAGAUACUUGUGAGUGGUUUCAUUAUUUUGAUGUUUCUUUAAUUUUGACAUUGCAAUUCUU